AUGGCUGUGGGUCCCUGUGGAAAGCAGAGCUGUGGUCUAAAGAUGCUAUUGCUGUGUGUUCUCCUGUGUCUGGUGACCGUUCCCCAAGGCGUCCUGUCCCAGGUUCAGCUUCAGGAGUCAGGUCCUGGACUGGUGAAGCCCUCCCAGAAGCUGACCCUCACCUGCACCGUCUCUGGUGUCUCCAUUACAAACAGUGGUUACUAUUGGAACUGGAUUCGCCAGGCCUCAGGGAAGGGGCUGCAGUGGAUGGGAGACAUAGAUUAUGAUGGUGAUACGGAUUAUCAUCAGUCCUUCCAAAGCCGACUCUCCGUCACCAGAGACACAUCAAAGAACCAGUUCUCCCUGGAGCUGAGCUCUGUGACUGCUGAGGACACGGCCGUGUAUUACUGUGCAAGGAGCACAGUGAGGGGAAGUCAGGGCUUGUAA